UCGAGCAGUUGCGUUAGGCCCAAGUACUUGUGCAGGUUAAGAUUUUCUUGGUCUAUUUCCAAGCAUUUCUCAGAUGAUAAAAGCUUCAGUCCUCUGUUUGAUUGCUUCCAUAUCAGGCUUGAACAUUCUGCUCAACUGCUCAAGAUGAGGGAGAACUUUCUGCCUCUGCGUAACGUCUAUCUUUGCCGAUAUCUUCAAAGGGAUCUUUAUCCUCAUUGUUGAAUGCUCACAAAUCCAUGUUGCUCAAAAUGCUCAUGAGAUUCAGGAUUGCAACCAACAAUAGUCACAGAAGCUUCCACUCCUGGAAGAAGGGAUCGAUUAAUGAUGUGCUUAUUCCUAUCGAGUCAUACCAUAUGCAUGAUCCUUCUGGCACGCGCUUUAAGCAUGAGACAGAAUUCCAGCAGAUGUAGAACUUUGUAUCCAAGCUGACAGUGGAUGAGCUGUUUCCCCCUAAUUAUGUGUGGCAUGUUCAAGAUCCAAAAGGACCAUGGGAAGGUGAUGAUGAAGUGAAAGUAGAUGAUCUCAGUAAAGCGAUAUUUAAUUCUAAGUGAAUCCUCACAAAUCCGUGUUCCUCAAAAUGAUCAUGAGAUUUAGGAUUGAAACCAACAAUAGUCGCAGAAGCUUCCACUCCUGGAAGAAGGGAUCGAUUGAUGAUGAGGUAAUUCCUAUCGAGUCAUACCAUAUGUAUAAUCCUUUCGGCAUGCGCAUUAAGCAUGAAACAGAAUUCCAGCAGUUGUAGAACUUUGCAUUCAAGCUGAUAGUGGAUGAGCUGCUUCCCCCUAAUUAUGUGUGGCUGUUCAAGAUCCAAAAGGACCAUGGGAAGGUGAUGAUGAAGUGAAAGUAGAUGAUCUCAAUAAAGCGAUAUUUAAUUCUAAGUGAAUGCUCACAAAUCCAUAUUGCUCAAAAUAGUCAUGAGAUUCAGGACUGAAACCAACGAUAGUCGCAGAAGCUUCCACUCCUGGAAGAAGGGAUCGAUUGAUGAUGUGCUAAUUCCUAUCGAGUCAUACCAUAUGUAUGAUCCUUUUGGCACGCGCAUUAAUCAAGAAACAGAAUUCCAGCAGCUGUAGAACUUUGCAUCCAAGCUGACAGCGGAUGAGGUGUUUCCCUUUAAUUAUGUUCAAGAUCCAAAAGGACCCUCAUUGAAGAGCGCACUGAAGAGGUGAAAGUACAUGAUCUCAAUAAAGCAAUAUUCAAUUCUAAGGUUUCUUGUCCCAACCUGAAAAGGCUAUAUAUCAUUCGGCCUAACAGCAUAAGUUCUCUAUGCUCUCACCAACUUCAGCAAACUUCAAUUACUGAAGGUAUCAGAUUGUGGAAAAUUGAGAAACUUGAUGUCUCCAUCAGUGGCCAGAGGUGCUUUGAAUCUCCGAAUACUAAAUAUAGAUGGUUGUCAAUCAAUGGAAGAAGUGAUCACAAAAGAGGAACAACAAGGAGAAGGAAUCAUGACCUUGUUUCGGCCUGUUGGAAGAGCUGAAGCUUUGGGAUCUGCCUAAGCUGGGGCAUUUCUUUCUGACGAAUGAUGCUCUUGAAUUUCCCUUUCUCAGGGAAGUGUUGAUUGAUGACUUCCCUGAAAUGAAGACGUUUGUCCAACAGGGAAUAUUUGUGAGUACACCGAGUCUCAAAUGGGUGAACUAUGAUGAUAAGGUGAAAGUAGAUGAUCUGAAUAAAUGGAGACAAUAGAGGUUCACUUCUCAGGAACAAAAAGCUAGUCAAGGCACUACCGAUGGUGAGGUGUUAUGACUCCAGAAAAUUGCAAGAGGAUGAGGUCAUGGCAGCUUUGAAGUCUGUAUGUAGCCUGAUACCUCACAAGUAUAGGCCUAUGAUGAAGCCAGACAUUGUGCUCCUUGAAAAUGAAGAGAGUUGCCUAGUCGCGUAAGGUUCCUUGAGUAUAAGCCUAUGAUGAGGUUAGACAUUGUGCUCCCUGACAGUGAAGAGAGUCGCGUAAGGUUCCUCAAGUAUAAGCCUGUGAUGAGGCUAGACAUUGUUCUCCCUGAAAGUGAAGAUAGUUGUCUAGUCGCGUAAGGUUACUUUACUAGCUGUUCUACAUAGGUUAACGUACACUGUGUUAUAGAAGUCUGGAAAUGUAGCUUUCAUUAUAUUGUUCAUUGAGUGACUAACUAUUGAGGCUGCAGUCUUUGUUUUGCCUCUGUAAUGUGAGGAUCAGGGCACCCAUUUCAACUAUUUGUUAUUUUAAAAG